UGGCGCGCGGGAGUUGCACUCCCGACCCAAUGUGAACGUUACCAAACUGUUGCCUCGGCGGGAUCUCUGCCCCGGGUGCGUCGCAGCCCCGGACCAAGGCGCCCGCCGGAGGACCAACCAAAACUCUUUUUGUAUACCCCCUCGCGGGUUUUUUAUAAUCUGAGCCUUCUCGGCGCCUCUCGUAGGCGUUUCGAAAAUGAAUCAAAACUUUCAACAACGGAUCUCUUGGUUCUGGCAUCGAUGAAGAACGCAGCGAAAUGCGAUAAGUAAUGUGAAUUGCAGAAUUCAGUGAAUCAUCGAAUCUUUGAACGCACAUUGCGCCCGCCAGUAUUCUGGCGGGCAUGCCUGUCCGAGCGUCAUUUCAACCCUCGAACCCCUCCGGGGGGUCGGCGUUGGGGAUCGGCCCUGCCUCUUGGCGGUGGCCGUCUCCGAAAUACAGUGGCGGUCUCGCCGCAGCCUCUCCUGCGCAGUAGUUUGCACACUCGCAUCGGGAGCGCGGCGCGUCCACAGCCGUUAAACACCCAACUUCUGAAAUGUUGACCUCGGAUCAGGUAGGAAUACCCGCUGAACUUAAGCAUAUCAAAAA
rnacentral:rRNA from 1 species